CUAAAGAAUAAAGGAAAUUGGAGCAGAGACCUAGGAUGAGGAGUUAUAACAAGCCUGAUGGAAAGGGACUCCUGGUCCAGUCAUGGGCAAGUUCUGUUUCUACGGAAGUUACUUGCAGCAUGGAUCGAUCAAGCUAGUAAAAAAUUAAUCAAUAUGGGAGGCUGAGAUAGCUUUGAAAUCUAGCACAAGGGGAAAUCCAUUAUCAAAGGGGAAGUUAGAAAGUGAACAAAAAGAGAGACUUAUAGACCAAAAAAAAAAAAAAAAAACCUCUCAAAAUCACUAAAAGGAAAAUAAUUCAGUUAAAAACUUAAAGCAUAAGCAUACAAAUUAACAGGGAACACACUGAAAUUAGAAAAGGACUUCUAAGGCAUGAUAAAAAACUGCAAAUGUCUAAACAAAUAUUAUAAGGCAAAAAAAACUGAACUAGCAAUUGAUGAAUCAUGGCACCCUGUGGAUUCCCAAGAGAGCAUGGAACCAUGGAAUGUUUCACAAUGGGUCAAGAGAGAAAUUAGAAUCUUGAGACACAAUGGCACAAUUUACAGUCUACACAACAGAAAUAAUUAGCAAGUCUCUCCAAAGUGAGAAACAACAAGUGAAAGGGGAAACAACAAAUUGGGGAUAUAAAUAUAUUAAAGCAAAGGACAAUAUUUGUAUGAAGAGCAAAGAACAAUAUUAAAAGAAAACAUUAUCUUUAUACACCCUUCAUCUAUUUGGUUUUUCCUGGAUGGACAAACAGAACAAACUGCUUUGAGAAAUGACAGAUUCUUCCAAGAUGUGUAGAAUUGGGGUUUAUUGCCAUCAACACUUCAUCUAUGAACAGAACUUCAGGAUUCAUAAAGAAUCUCCUCCUAAUCUGGAUUCUGUGUUGGAUUUCCACCAUCAUAUCAGUGAACACCUUUGAUGCUGGCACAAAAAAUUUCAACUAUCUUCGGGUGUGUUUUCUAUUGUGAACACUGAAAAAGAGAAUGACCAGUAUUCUAUGAAAUGAUUUUUGGCAGUACUUGUGUACAUGACAAAGCUAAAUGUUACAACUUUUAACUAACCCAUUUGAGGAAUGUUUUUCAGUCAUGUUCCCAUGACUGAAAUGUCUCUUGAUUUUAUUUAUUGUAAGAAUAUCAAAUAUGAAUGUAGUUCAGUUCUCUCCAUAGAUCAACUUAGUCAUUGGAUAAACUUUUUCUAUUUAGAGUGGCAUCGAGGUACUAUGUGGUUCCAAUCUGAUCCUUUAUGUCACUCUGGCCCUGAUACUGUGGGAGCACUCCAAUACUGAAUCACACGGGACACAGGAUCAUUUUGUAUUGUCAUCUCAUGAGUUACGAAAGUAAAAAAAAAAAAAAAAAAAUUCUUAAGAUCAUAGAGUUAAAACUGAAUGGAAUCUUAGAU